GAAUGGAUCGUCAAUUUUAAUUUUGGGAUUAUGUGCUUUGUCAAAAUUACAAUUUUUAAGUAACAAAUACAAACAAGUUUAUUACAUCCAAAUGGUAUCCAUGCACAGCUGGAAGAGCCUUACACCUCACUGCUACUCUCCACCGCCGGCGUUUCCACCGUUACCACCUGAUCCUCUUCGCCGUCUCUUCCCCUCAAGCUAAACGACAACGAAGUCAACGGAACCAGGAACCGCCCUGUAGGUGGGACCCACAGGUUGAGCACACCUUGUGGCCUACCAGAAGGUCUCCAAACUAACACUGUCAUAAACUGGAUCGGAUUAUUCUCCAGCAUCUCCGAUUCCGGCGAUUUAGUAUCCUUCAACACAUCGGAGAGCAAAACUCGAGCGCUCCCCACCGGUUUCUCUCGAAUGUGUCCGUGAGCGUAAAUAUCCACGUUUAACGCCGCCAUGAUGUCAUUUUCCGGCAGCUUUUCGUGAAAUUUCACCUUCACCACCUGGUUCCAUAUUGGAUUGGUCCCGUCGUCUCCGUCGCCGGUGUGCUCCGCUAUUUUGGUUUUUGCCACGUGGACGUCUUUCACCACGUAGACCUCGGCGUAGGUUCUCAUCCUGGUCAAGUGUUUCACGUUCUUCAGGCCUUCUGCUGAGUAUAUGAGAACUUCUAUCUCCCUAAGCCGCUCCUCCGGUGGUGACCUCCGCCGGCGUAAAUGAGAU
rnacentral:misc_RNA from 1 species